GACGAACGCUGGCGGCGUGCUUAACACAUGCAAGUCGAACGGAAAGGCCCUGCUUUUGUGGGGUGCUCGAGUGGCGAACGGGUGAGUAACACGUGAGUAACCUGCCCUUGACUUUGGGAUAACUUCAGGAAAAUGGGGCUAAUACCGGAUAGGAGCUCCUGCUGCAUGGGGGGGGAUGGAAAGUUUCGGCGGUUGGGGCUGGACUCGCGGCUUAUCAGCUUGUUGGUGGGGUAGUGGCUUACCAAGGCUUUGACGGGUAGCCGGCCUUGGAGGGUGACCGGCCACAUUGGGACUGAGAUACGCACCAGACUCCUACGGGCGGCAGCAGUGGGGAAUAUUGCACAAUGGGCGGAAGCCUGAUGCAACAACGCCGCGUGCGGGAUGACGGCCUUCGGGUUGUAAACCGCUUUCGCCUGUGACGAAGCGUGAGUGACGGUAAUGGGUAAAGAAGCACCGGCUAACUACGUG
rnacentral:rRNA from 1 species